rnacentral:rRNA from 1 species
CAGUAGCCACGGUAAUACGUAGGUCCCGAGCGUUGUCCGGAUUUAUUGGGCGUAAAGCGAGCGCAGGCGGUUAGAUAAGUCUGAAGUUAAAGGCUGUGGCUUAACCAUAGUGCGCUUUGGAAACUGUUUAACUUGAGUGCAAGAGGGGAGAGUGGAAUUCCUAGUGUAGCGGUGAAAUGCGUAGAGAUUAGGAGGAACACCAGUGGCGAAGGCGGCUUUUUGGCCUGUAACUGACACUGAGGCGCGAAAGCGUGGGGAGCAAACAGGAUUAGAUACCCGCGUAGUCCCUGUCUCUUAUACA